CCACUCUGCUGUGGCCUAUGGCUUUUCAUUCCUAUGUGAUUGCUGUCCCAAACUCAUGUAGGGCUAAAAGCCAUGGGCUACAGUGAGGGGC
rnacentral:pre_miRNA from 10 species